AAGUCGUAACAAGGUUUCCGUAGGUGAACCUGCGGAAGGAUCAUUAACAAGUCCACAUAUGCCGCUCUUUGGGUGUGCAUAUAAGCCCCGUGCGCAAUGCACGAGACAUUUUAUCGUUUGACUGAUCAACACAAGGAACAAGAGAAACUUUUAACAACGGAUCUCUAGGCUCCU
rnacentral:misc_RNA from 1 species